GUUGAACGCUGGCGGCAUGCCUAACACAUGCAAGUCGAGCGAACAGACGAGUACCUUGCCUCUCUGAUGUUAGAGGCGGGAGGAAGAGUACCAAGUGGACCACCUACCUAUAAGUCAGGGAUCACUUCGGGAAAUCAGAGCUCAUACCGGCUAAUAAUUUGAACCGCAUGGCUCCAAAGUGCACGCCGGUCUUGCGGCCGCUUAUAGAUGGAUCCGCGCUACAUUAGCUAGUUGGUCAGGUAAAGGCUUACCAAGUCAACGAUGCAUAGCAGACCUGAGAGGAUGAUCGGCCACACUGGAACUGAGACACGGUCCAGACUCCUACGGGAGGCAGCAGUAGGGAAUCUUGCGCAAUGGGCGAAAGCCUGAUGGAGCAACGCCGCGUGAGGGAUGAAGGUCUUCGGGUUGUAAAACGCUGUUAUUAGGGAAGAACAGAUGUGUAAGUAUCUAGGCACAUCAUGACGGUACCUAAACAGAAAGCCACGGCUAACUACGUG
rnacentral:rRNA from 1 species